CGGUGACGCCCUGCGGCCGUUACUGCUUGGAGCUCUCUGGGAGAGGAGGUGAGACCGAAAGCGGAAGUCCUCGAGAGCUACCUGGUUUGGAUGAAUGGAGAAAGACCGAGGCCUCCAGCUCAGAGGGCCCUCCCAGAGAGUCACACAGCGGAUGCUUGGGGGAGAAAAUGUCAUCGAUUUCUGGCUGUUGGAGACCCAGCGCUCCCCGCCCCCGGGUUGAAGACACCGAGGCAGUGUCAGGAUUGUUCCAGCGGUUGGGAUGGGAACAAAGUGCCCAGUCUUGGUCCCGGCCAGGCCUCACCAUGCCUUGGACUUAAGCGAUCCCUCUUUGGCCCUCGUUGGCCCAUGCCUUGUGCUCUCAAAGUGUGUCCUAGACCUUGUGCUAUUAAUUAUGAAUGUCAGUUGCCUUAAGAUUUGCCCAGCUCCUAUGUCGGCAAAGCGUCACUUGAAAUCACUAGUUACUCUGUGACUAGAAGCUCUGUAACCUAACAAGUAAGCUUGUAAUUCCUCCAUAAAAUGUCCACGCUGCCCUUCUCUCCAAUACACGCCACUCUUGGGCAUAGGAUUUAAUGUAAGUCAACCUCAGCCCCUCACUGUGAAACAAACCAGUGCAUACUGGGAGUCUCCUUAAAUUUCCUGUUGCCCCACACCAAAAAGGGUAGUGUAGUAAAAUUUGCCUCUCAGUUAUACUGUCACCUGGACAUUAAUAAAUCCCCUGUAAAAGCCCCUAGCUGAUGACGCUCUUUCACUGAUAAUACAUGAAGGUGGUCCUAAAUUAAUUAAACUGACAAACAGUGCCAA